rnacentral:rRNA from 1 species
ACACUCCUACGGGAGGCAGCAGUAGGGAAUCUUCGGCAAUGGGGGCAACCCUGACCGAGCAACGCCGCGUGAGUGAAGAAGGUUUUCGGAUCGUAAAGCUCUGUUGUAAGUCAAGAACGAGUGUGAGAGUGGAAAGUUCACACUGUGACGGUAGCUUACCAGAAAGGGACGGCUAACUACGUGCCAGCAGCCGCGGUAAUACGUAGGUCCCGAGCGUUGUCCGGAUUUAUUGGGCGUAAAGCGAGCGCAGGCGGUUUGAUAAGUCUGAAGUUAAAGGCUGUGGCUCAACCAUAGUUCGCUUUGGAAACUGUCAAACUUGAGUGCAGAAGGGGAGAGUGGAAUUCCAUGUGUAGCGGUGAAAUGCGUAGAUAUAUGGAGGAACACCGGUGGCGAAAGCGGCUCUCUGGUCUGUAACUGACGCUGAGGCUCGAAAGCGUGGGGAGCGAACAGGAUUAGAAACCCUAGUAGUCCCAU